rnacentral:rRNA from 1 species
UGAAACCGUGUACGUACAAGCAGUAGGAGCAGGCUUUGUCCUGUGACUGCGUACCUUUUGUAUAAUGGGUCAGCGACUUAUAUUCAGUGGCAAGGUUAACCAUCUAGGGGAGCCGUAGGGAAACCGAGUCUUAACUGGGCGUUCAGUCUCUGGAUAUAGACCCGAAACCAGGUGAUCUAGCCAUGGGCAGGUUGAAGGUUGAGUAACAUCAACUGGAGGACCGAACCGACUAAUGUUGAAAAAUUAGCGGAUGACUUGUGGCUAGGGGUGAAAGGCCAAUCAAACCUGGAGAUAGCUGGUUCUCCCCGAAAGCUAUUUAGGUAGCGCCUCGGACGAAUACUACUGGGGGUAGAGCACUGUUAAGGCUAGGGGGUCAUCCCGACUUACCAACCCUUUGCAAACUCCGAAUACCAGUAAGUACUAUCCGGGAGACACACGGCGGGUGCUAACGUCCGUCGUGGAGAGGGAAACAACCCAGACCGCCAGCUAAGGUCCCAAAUUACUACUAAGUGGGAAACGAUGUGGGAAGGCUCAGACAGCCAGGAUGUUGGCUUAGAAGCAGCCAUCAUUUAAAGAAAGCGUAAUAGCUCACUGGUCGAGUCGGCCUGCGCGGAAGAUGUAACGGGGCUAAGUAGUAAACCGAAGCUGCGGCAAUAUACUUUUGUAUAUUGGGUAGGGGAGCGUUCUGUAAGCGGUUGAAGGUGUGUGGUAACGCAUGCUGGACGUAUCAGAAGUGCGAAUGCUGACAUGAGUAACGAUAAAGGGGGUGAAAAACCUCCUCGCCGGAAGACCAAGGGUUCCUGUCCAACGUUAAUCGGGGCAGGGUAAGUCGACCCCUAAGGCGAGGCCGAAAGGCGUAGUCGAUGGGAAACGGGUUAAUAUUCCCGUACUUCUUACAAUUGCGAUGGGGGGACGGAGAAGGCUAGGUGGGCCUGGCGACGGUUGUCCAGGUUCAAGUGCGUAGGCUUGAGAGUUAGGUAAAUCCGGCUCUCUCUAAGGCUGAGACACGACGUCGAGCACCUACGGGUNGCUCUUUCUAAGGCUGAGACACGACGUCGAGCCACUACGGUGGUGAAGUCAUUGAUGCCAUGCUUCCAGGAAAAGCCUCUAAGCUUCAGAUUGUAAGGAAUCGUACCCCAAACCGACACAGGUGGUCGGGUAGAGAAUACCAAGGCGCUUGAGAGAACUCGGGUGAAGGAACUAGGCAAAAUGGUACCGUAACUUCGGGAGAAGGUACGCUCUUGAUGGUGAAGUCCCUUGCGGAUGGAGCUGACGAGAGUCGCAGAUACCAGGUGGCUGCAACUGUUUAUUAAAAACACAGCACUGUGCAAAAUCGUAAGAUGACGUAUACGGUGUGACGCCUGCCCGGUGCCGGAAGGUUAAUUGAUGGGGUUAGACUUCGGUCGAAGCUCUUGAUCGAAGCCCCGGUAAACGGCGGCCGUAACUAUAACGGUCCUAAGGUAGCGAAAUUCCUUGUCGGGUAAGUUCCGACCUGCACGAAUGGCGUAAUGAUGGCCACGCUGUCUCCACCCGAGACUCAGUGAAAUUGAAAUCGCUGUGAAGAUGCAGUGUACCCGCGGCUAGACGGAAAGACCCCGUGAACCUUUACUACAGCUUGGCACUGAACAUUGACCCUACAUGUGUAGGAUAGGUGGGAGGCUUUGAAGCAGGUACGCCAGUAUCUGNCUUUACUACAGCUUGGCACUGAACAUUGACCCUACAUGUGUAGGAUAGGUGGGAGGCUUUGAAGACGGUACGCCAGUAUCGUUGGAGCCGUCCUUGAAAUACCACCCUUGUAGUGUUGAUGUUCUAACGUCGACCCCUUAUCGGGGUUGCGGACAGUGCCUGGUGGGUAGUUUGACUGGGGCGGUCUCCUCCCAAAGAGUAACGGAGGAGCACGAAGGUGGGCUAAUCACGGUUGGACAUCGUGAGGUUAGUGCAAUGGCAUAAGCCCGCUUGACUGCGAGAAUGACAAUUCGAGCAGGUGCGAAAGCAGGUCAUAGUGAUCCGGUGGUUCUGAAUGGAAGGGCCAUCGCUCAACGGAUAAAAGGUACUCCGGGGAUAACAGGCUGAUACCGCCCAAGAGUUCAUAUCGACGGCGGUGUUUGGCACCUCGAUGUCGGCUCAUCACAUCCUGGGGCUGAAGUCGGUCCCAAGGGUAUGGCUGUUCGCCAUUUAAAGUGGUACGCGAGCUGGGUUUAGAACGUCGUGAGACAGUUCGGUCCCUAUCUGCCGUGGGCGUUGGAAGAUUGAAGGGGGCUGCUCCUAGUACGAGAGGACCGGAGUGGACGAACCUCUGGUGUUCGGGUUGUGUCGCCAGACGCAUUGCCCGGUAGCUAAGUUCGGAAUCGAUAACCGCUGAAAGCAUCUAAGCGGGAAGCGAGCCCUGAGAUGAGUCUUCCCUGAUACUUUAAGUAUCCUAAAGGGUUGUCGGAGACUACGACGUUGAUAGGUCAGGUGUGUAAGUGCUGUGAGGCAUUGAGCUAACUGAUACUAAUUGCCCGUGAGGCUUAACCAU